GUGGCAAUCAUUCAGUCAGCCAUGUGGUGACGCGUCGCCGUGUGUCGCCGGCCUGCCUGCUGGUAUGGUAGCUAGCAACACGGUGGCUGCGUCUCGUGGUCGUGGAUCAUCUGAUCAUGCAUGCAUGACAAUGACAUGAUUCUUCCAGUGAGCCUCCAGAGAAGCCGCCUGCAUGCCCACCUGUCUGCAUUUCCGGCCGGUCUCCUUGUAUCGAUCGAUUGAUUGAUGGUCCAUAUGCAUGCAUUAUUAUUCCUGUUGCUAUACCAUACCACCUUCUUCUCUUCUGCUCGCUAGCUCCCGCCAUCAGCCCAUCUCCAUUUAAGCCGGAGCUCACAGCAGUGCGCGCGCAUGAGUGCGUGGUCGUUAGAUGUAUAUAUAUGUGCAUGCAUGAGCUGCUCGAGGCUUGCAAGAAGGUGGCAGAUUUGAUCGAUGGCGAUGCCGGUGGAGACGGCGGUGUGCAUCGCGCGCAACGUGCUCUUGCUGCUGGACGCUUGGGUCUGGACGUGCGUGCUCGCCGCCGACGGCGCCGCGCGCCUCCUCCGGUCGGCCACGCACUGAUCGAUCGAUCGUCCCCCGCCGCCGAUUCACGGCCGUAUGUGUCUAGAUGCAAAACGAAAGAUAUCAUCUGCUCCACCCAUAUGACCUCGUGAGUCGAUCGUCCUCGUAAUAGUACAGGGCUCGUCAAGCAUGUGUAUAGCAACGUUAGAUAUAUAUUGAAGUCGUCCAGGAUCGGAGAUAUACUCUCUUUUUUUCAAUACAAGUAAUGAUUUUGAAACAGCUACUUGUUCACCUUUCUUUUAUUUAUCAUCUUAGAGGAUGACGACAUUGAUGUGAAGUAAUAUAUGUAACAGAAACUAGCUAGCUGCAGCAUUAAUUGGGUAUGAAUUCCAAUUUCUGCGCCAGUGUACCAAUUUCUCGUGUUCAAUGAAAAAAUGUAUGAUGAUUUGCGUUUGUCGUGAACCUGAAGGGGAAAAAAAUUGUACCCUUGAAUCUA